rnacentral:rRNA from 1 species
GACUAACGCUAACGGUGUGCAUAAUACAUGCAAGUCAAACGGGCAAUGCGAGAGUAGCAAUACUUUUGCAAAGCCAGUGGCGAACGGGUGAGUAACGCGUAGGUAAUCUGCCCUGGAGAUUAGGAUAACUUUCCGAAAGGAAAGCUAAUACUGAAUACUUUAUAUUUUUCGCAUGAUUAAUAUAACAAAGGUAGCCGCAAGGCUUCCGCUUCAGGAUGAACCUGCGUCCUAUUAGCUUGUUGGUAAGGUAAUGGCUUACCAAGGCUAUGAUGGGUAGCCGGCCUGAGAGGGUGAUCGGCCACACUGGGACUGAGAUACGGCCCAGACUCCUACGGGAGGCAGCAGUAGGGAAUAUUGCGCAAUGGGCGAAAGCCUGACGCAGCGACACCGUGUGAAGGAUGAAGGUCUUCGGAUCGUAAACUUCUGUCAAUUGGGGAAGAAGGUAGUAGGGGUUAAUAGCCUCUAUUAUUGGCGGUACCCAAAAAG